rnacentral:rRNA from 1 species
GACGAACGCUGGCGGCGUGCUUAACACAUGCAAGUCGAACGGAAAGGCCCAGCUUGCUGGGUGCCCGCGUGGCGAACGGGUGAGUAACACGUGGGUGAUCUGCCCCUAACUUCGGGAUAAGCUUGGGAAACUGGGUCUAAUACCGGAUAGGACAAUCGUUUAGUGUCGGUUGUGGAAAGUUUUUUCGGUUAGGGAUGAGCCCGCGGCCUAUCAGCUUGUUGGUGGGGUAAUGGCCUACCAAGGCGUCGACGGGUAGCCGGCCUGAGAGGGUGGACGGCCACAUUGGGACUGAGAUACGGCCCAGACUCCUACGGGAGGCAGCAGUGGGGAAUAUUGCACAAUGGGCGCAAGCCUGAUGCAGCGACGCCGCGUGGGGGAUGACGGCCUUCGGGUUGUAAACCUCUUUCGACAGGGACGAAGCUUUGGUGACGGUACCUGGAUAAGAAGCACCGGCUAACUACGUG